rnacentral:snRNA from 1 species
AUACUGACCUGGCAGGGGAGAUACCAUGAUCAUGAAGGUGGUUUUCCCAGGGCAAGGCUUAUCUAUUGCACUCUGGAUGUGCUGACCCCUGCAAUUUCCCCAAAUGUGGGAAGCUCGACUGCAUGGUUUGUGGUAGUGAGGGUCUGCAUUUGUGCUCUCUCCUU